GUGGAAUGACAGUUGAAGUUUAUCCAUUCUCGGAGUAUGUCAUGCUACUCUUCUGCAGCACCAGGUUCCUGUUCCAGAACCUCCGUGCCAUGCAGUUUCCAAAUGCCCCUUGUGUCUUGUGGUGUUCUGCUGGAGACGGCUGGUGUGUGUUUGGUGUCUGCCCGCGGGAGAGGGUGGUGACAGCAGGAGUGGAUGCAAAGAUCCUGUUCCAUCUGCAAAGAUGAACGGUGACAGUCGGAUCAA